GCAAUAGUGAUUCCUUAGAAUGCAUGUUUGAUAUUUUAGCUCCUUUCAGCUCGAGUUUCUGGGGGGAUGGAGUCUAUUCCCGCCUUUUCUGAUUACAUUCCCUUGAGUAUUCAAAUAGGUUAAAUGAGCACUGGCCACACCAAACAUACCCGUCACCUCUGGAGCUGGUUCCAAUUCAUCCUCUCUGCGAAGAUGAGUGGACGCAUGUGGCCUUUACAACACCGGCCCACUGGAAAGAUCUAUGGGCAGAAGGGAAAACAGACAUGAGACCAUUACCUGGAAUCAAAGCCAGUACCUUCUCGCCCAGCAUCCUGGGAAGUGCCGUCUCAAAGAACUGUCUUUUUCCCCCAACAGGAUACUUGCUCUAGUUUAUAAAAAGUCACACUGUGGAUGCACAUAUGAAUGUCCCGACGAAGCAACAGUCUAGGAAGUUUCAUUACAGCUCUGAUUUUGACUCCCUGAUGAUUGUACUUCGAACGGGAAGUGAUUUCUGGCUCUGCCUUAGCUGCCUUGGAACGUCACUCAUGAGCUGCCCUGAACACACCGCAAAGCUGCGAGUUGUUUUCUUGUUUGUUUCGUCAAAGCUGCACCUGUUUUCUGUACUGAAAAUAGUGCCUCAUGGAUCUAAAGCCAAACCCAAGCCCGAGGCAGGAAACAAACAAACCAACAACGACAACCAGAAAAGACACUGUUACUCUGGUAUUCUGGUGCAUUAUAUCAACAGAAUAAUAGAAGAGUCAAGCUUUGGAAACCUUAACUUUCAAGGAAAACUUGGAAUUUGAAAUGAGCAUGCUAAUGAUUUUUGAGCUCCUACAAACCGGGAAGAUUUGCCUGUCGGUAGCAAAAAGUUAUAGAGACUGUAUUAGUGACGGUUCUCUAGAGAAACAGAAUCAACAAGAGAUAUCUUUACAUGUACAUGAAAUGCAGACAUAUGCACAUUUAUGUUAUGUUAUAUUUAUUAUAGGAAUCGAUUGAUGUGAUUAUGGAAGCGUGGGACAUUCCAAUCUGCCCUCUGCAAGCGGUAGACUAGGAAAGCCAAUGGUGUAAGUCCUAGUCCAAGUGCAAAGGCCCAGGUACCAGGACUGCUUAUGUCUGAGGGCAGGAGAUGAUGGAUGUAUCAGCUCAGCAGAGAGCAAAUCUGCCCUUCCUCUGACUUUUUGUUCUAUUCAGGCCCCCAACAGAUUGGAUUAUGCCUACCUGCAUCGGUGAGGUUGAUCUUCUUUAUUCUGUCUACCAAAUCAAAUGCUCAUCUCUUGUGACCAUGCCCUUCACGGACACACGCAAAAAUAAUGUGUUAUCGCUCUCUGGGCAUCCCUUAGGCCAGUCAAAUUGACACAUAAAAUUAAACAUUACAGAGACUAACAAAGUGUUAAAUGUUAAUGAUAUUAACUAGGUUUAAAAGUAUUUUCCACACACACCAGGAUGGCUAAUAUAAAAACAAAAACGAAACCACGAUCUCACAGCGAGUGUUUGCAAGAAUAUGGAGAUGGAGAGAUUGGAAGCCCUGUGUCCCGCUGAUGAGAUUGCAAAAUGGUGCGGCCACUAUGGAAAAUAGUAUGGAAGUUCCUCAAAAGAUUAAAAAUAAAACUACCGGACAAUCCAGCAAUUGCACUGAAUGCGUGUACUUGAAGAGAUAUUUGUACAGCCAUGUUUACAGUAUCACUAUUCACAGUAGCCAAAAAGUGGUAGCAAUCCAAGUGUAGGUACACUGGUGGGUAAAUGGAAACACAAAAUGUGGUGUAUACAAAGGCUAGAAUAUUUAUCAUUCAGCCUUAAAAGGGAAGGAAAUUCCGACACAUGCCACAACGUGGAUGAACCUUAAGGACAUUAUGCCCAAUGAAAUAAGCCAAUUACAAGAAGGCAGAUACUGUAUGAUUCCACUUACAUGAGGUAUCCAAAGCAGUCAGAUUCACAGAGAUAGUAGAAAGUUGGUUGCCAGGGGCUGGGGAGACUGGGAAUGGAAAGGUGGUUUUUAAUAGAGUUUCAGGUUUAUGAGGUGAAAAAGUCCUAGAGAUCGGUUGCCCAACAAUGUGAAUACCCUUAACAAGACUGAACUCUCGAAAAUAAAAUGCUAAAUUCUAUGUCGUGUGCCUUUUGCCACCAUUAAAAAGAAUACUCGUGUGAGUAUGUUUCUG
rnacentral:lncRNA from 1 species